GAUGAACGCUGGCGGCGUGCCUAACACAUGCAAGUCGAACGGAGAUUUCAGCAAUGAAAUCUUAGUGGCGAACGGGUGAGUAACGCGUAGACAACCUGCCUUUUAGAUGGGGACAACACUGGAAAACUAGUGCUAAUACCGAAUGUUGUAGUUUGUUCGCAUGAAUGAACUACCAAAGAUGGCCUCUAUUUAUAAGCUAUCACUAAAAGAUGGGUCUGCGUCUGAUUAGCUAGUUGGUGAGGUAAUGGCUCACCAAGGCGACGAUCAGUAGCCGGUCUGAGAGGAUGAACGGCCACACUGGGACUGAGACACGGCCCAGACUCCUACGGGAGGCAGCAGUGGGGAAUCUUCCGCAAUGGACGAAAGUCUGACGGAGCAACGCCGCGUGAGUGAAGAAGGUUUUCGGAUCGUAAAACUCUGUUUUCAGGGACGAAUGUGCGCAGUGUGAAUAAUGCUGUGUAAUGACGGUACCUGAGUAGAAAGCCACGGCUAACUACGUGCCAGCAGCCGCAGUAA
rnacentral:rRNA from 1 species